rnacentral:rRNA from 1 species
GAUGAACGCUGGCGGCGUGCCUAAUACAUGCAAGUCGAGCGAACAGACGAGGAGCUUGCUCCUCUGACGUUAGCGGCGGACGGGUGAGUAACACGUGGAUAACCCACCUAUAAGACUGGGAUAACUUCGGGAAACCGGAGCUAAUACCGGAUAAUAUAUUGAACCGCAUGGUUCAAUAGUGAAAGACGGUUUUGCUGUCACUUAUAGAUGGAUCCGCGCCGCAUUAGCUAGUUGGUAAGGUAACGGCUUACCAAGGCAACGAGGCGUAGCCGACCUGAGAGAGUGAUCGGCCGCACUGGAACUGAGACACGGUCCAGACUCCUACGGGAGGCAGCAGUAGGGAAUCUUCCGCAGUGGGCGGAAGCCUGACGGAGCAACGCCGCGUGAGUGAUGAAGGUCUUCGGAUCGUAAAACUCUGUUAUUAGGGAAGAACAAAUGUGUAAGUAGCUAUGCACGUCUUGACGGUACCUAGUCAGAAAGCCACGGCUAACUACGUG